UGCAACCUGAGCUCAGUCGUGAUUACCCGCUGAACUUAAGCAUAUCACUUAGCGGAGGAAAAGAAACUAAAUG
rnacentral:rRNA from 2 species